GCGAAGCGAAUGCACUCCAUGCAGAGCGAAGUGUGGGCAUUCUCACUCCACGCUGCGCGGAGUGCUACACUUCGGCGUCUUCUUAAGGUAAAAAAAAAAAUUAAUAUGGGCAUGUCGUACUGUAAAACAUGAUUUUAAUGUGCUACCUUAAACUAUUAUAAGAGAACUCGACACUACAGAUUUAAGCUUGAAUUGCAAAAAAUUUGAAGAUCAUUUGUAUAACUUUUUAACAUAAUAGUAUUCAUAAAUAUAUUUUAAAUUUACUUUUAUCACAUGAAGGUUACCUUUUUACUAUAGUCGAUCACGCAGGAAGCUUGAUUAGGCAUAAAACUUGCAACAUGCUUGCCAAAAAGAAAAUAGUUAAAGGUGAG
rnacentral:lncRNA from 1 species